UUGGGGCUCAUCGUUCAUCUCUGCAGCUUUACACCUAUGCACUUCAUCAAAAUUAAUAACAAUCAUCUAAAUUAUCCCGAUGGUUAGCUAGAUCUUCGAUCGCAGUAUUUUAUUUUAUAAUUUGUAAAGUGCAUUCUAUUUCAUUCUUAUACUAAGUUAUUUAACAUAUAGUCACUAGUCAGUAAGACGAAAAGCGCGGUUUUGUCAUUUCCUGAAAACGGCUCGACCAUUUCUCACACACAUUAGCCGAUCCAACAUUAUAAGCAAAAAAUUAAGGCAUCACACUUUAAUAUGAGAAUGUUAUGAAUGUAAUAUAUGCAUAUGACGUAUGUUAUUAUCUGCAUUAUAUUUUUGGCCUAUAACGCUGGAUCGGGUAAUGUAUAUAACUAUAGAAUAGUAUACAUGGAUAUAUCAUAUUUAUAUUUAAAUCCACCUUUCCAGUGCUUCGUAAAUUGUUUUGUAUUUAACUUUGUCCUUUGUCAGUAUCUGCAAUAGAGACCGUUUGUAAUCGUAAUGUUUCAACUGAAUUUUUCCCGGUAAAACUGUUAACAAAUUAUUAAUAGAGAAAUUGUUCACGAACUUUGAUUUGAAUGCGUAAAUGCCAUGUCAACGUCUUUUCCACACAAAUAAAUUAUUCUGACAUAUCUAGCCUUGUCAUGCAUGGUUUUAUAUUGAGAGGAGUAAACGUUGUCCGCUCAUUUUAUCGCUUGGAGCCUUUGACUGAAGACUGAACAUUUGAAAUAUUGCUCGAUUGUAAAUAUUUAUCGCCAUGAAUUCUAAAUUCAUUAUCUGCUUGUUUCUUGUGAUGUUCACCGUCUCGAAUUCAAACUUGGUGAAACGACGGGUGAACUCGGAAAAUUUUUCUGAAUGCGAAAUAAACGGCAUGUUUUGUUGCAUUAUUGGAUUUUUUCCUCCGAGACAUUGUGAUUACAACGGCGAAUAUCCGAAAUAUGAGUGCCCUCCCCAUAAAACUUGUUGCAAGGAUGCGAACAGUUGUUUCUAAUGCUGCCAUAAUAAGGUACAUGUGUAUAUAUAUAUUAGACUAACUAUACCAUUUAAUUUAUUAUAUGGCUUGAUAUGCCAUACGUUAAUCAUGAAAGCUAACGUAGCUAAUAUAAGAGAAAAGAUAUUAUAAAUAUAUAAUCAAUUCUUUAUUUAUUGUUUUCUAUAUAUAAAAAAGAUUGCUGCCUAUACAUAUAUAGUUGAAAAUUGAUACAAACAAGAUAAAUAUUAGCAAAAUAUACAUAAUUCAUGUGUGUAUCAUUGUAUCAUGUAUAAUCAUUUAUCUUUGAACUAUAUUUUAGACUAACUAUGCUUAUAGCAUUUUUUAAACUUUCCUGUUAGAUACCGAAAAGGCUUAAAGUUAUGACGUGGAAAGUAUAGUUAUAGAAAGGUGGACAAAUACAUAUGAUAUUACAUGAUUUGAAUUUGUUGAAACGGGAUUAGAACUUCAAUAAAGAUUAGAACAGCUUUACUGGUGUAGUCUUAUCAUGCAUUGUUCUUUCCAAACCGGCUCCAUGUAUUUUUUGUAAAGGGAAAUUAUCACCCCAUGCUUCCAGAAAUAAAAAAUAUGUCUAACCGCAUAAAAGGUGAAUAUUUUCUUAGGGGUAAGCAUAAAAAAAAAUUCUGUAACAUAAAUAAUUUCCCUAACAUGCACAUUCGCGCCAAUAUUCCUGUGCACUGAAUCUAUAUAAAUCGCGAUUCUGUUUCGCUUAACAUAUUCGCCUGUACAUAGUUCGUCUGGAUAGUUUGUCUUGUGCACAGACGAAUAAUCUGCGAGACGGAUCAUUCGUCCGGGAAAAAAUACGAUCCCUUACAUUACUCCGCUCCACAACUACAUUUAGUCCACUUCA